UUGGUUCACCUAUUUUAAACUAUGAAAUCUGAAUGGAAUUCAUUGAUUCCGAUAGUUGCCGUUUGUUUUAUAGGAAUCAAAUUCCGAUUUCCAUUCCACUCCGGAAUGAGAAUGGCCAAAUCCAUUUAGGGCAUGUUUGGUUCUCCUAUUUUAAACUAUGGAAUCGGAAUGGAAUUCAUUGAUUCCGAUAGUUACCCUUUGUUUUACAGGAAUCGGAUUCCGACCAUUCCACUUUGGAAUGGGAAUGGUCAAAUCCAUUUAUGAUCCAAUCCGACUUUGAAUUCCAGAUUGGCUCAUUCCAAAGUAAACUAUUCAAAAUUCUCUUUCAUCAACACCUACCUCUUCUCCCUUCAUCACUUUCCUCUAUCUUAAUCAAAACCCUCUCUCAAAAAUUUUAAAUUUUCAUUCCGAUUUCCAUUCCAAUAAUGAACCAAACAUUUUUGGAUGAUUCGUCAUUCUAUUUUCCAUUCCAAAGCAAUCCAAUUUUAUUUUCCAUUUCUAUUCCAAUCAUGAACCAAACAUGCCCUUAUGAUCCAAUCCGGCUUUGAAUCCCGGAUUGGCUCAUACCAAAGUAAACUAUUCAAAAUCCUCUUUCAUCAACACCUACCUCCUCUCCCUUCAUCACUUUUCUCUCUCUUAAUCAAAACCCUCUCUCAAAAAUUUUUAAUUUUUAUUCCGAUUUUCAUUCCAAUAAUGAAUCAAAUAUUUUUGAAUGAUUCAUCAUUCCAUUUUUCAUUCCAAAGCAAUCCAAUUCCAUUUCCUAUUGCUAUUCUAAUCAUGAACCAAACAUGCCCUAAAAAUAAUUCAGUCUGAUCAUAAU
rnacentral:lncRNA from 1 species